rnacentral:rRNA from 1 species
ACGGGAGGCAGCAGUGAGGAAUAUUGGUCAAUGGGCGGAAGCCUGAACCAGCCAAGUAGCGUGCAGGAUGACGGCCCUAUGGGUUGUAAACUGCUUUUGUGCGGGGAUAAAAAGCGGGACGUGUCCCGCCUUGUAGGUACCGCAAGAAAAAGGACCGGCUAAUUCCGUGCCAGCAGCCGCGGUAAUACGGAAGGUCCGGGCGUUAUCCGGAUUUAUUGGGUUUAAAGGGAGCGUAGGCGGGCCUUUAAGUCAGUGGUCAAAGCGUGUGGCUCAACCAUACCACGCCGUUGAUACUGGAGGCCUUGAGUGCACAUAAGGAUGGUGGAAUUCAUGGUGUAGCGGUGAAAUGCUUAGAUAUCAUGAAGAACUCCGAUUGCGAAGGCAGCUGUCCGGGGUGUAACUGACGCUAAUGCUCGAAAGUGCGGGUAUCAAACAGGAUUAGAUACCCUGGUA